GCGGGCGUGGCGGAAUUGGUAGACGCGCCAGAUUUAGGAUCUGGUGGAGAAAUCCGUGGGGGUUCAAGUCCCUCCGCCCGCACCA
rnacentral:tRNA from 1 species